UUUUAUUUUUCUUUAGCACAAAGAAGUUCACGGUUGGGGUUGGCUUGGAGUUAAUGAUGCCGUGUUGUCUUAGAUUUGGCAGACGCCCUUAUCCAGGGCGACUUACAAUCGCAAGCCACCGAAGUCUGGACGCAGAACCCCCCUCUAGGCUCGGUGACGACAGAAUGUCAAGGGAGUGUGAUGAUGAUGAUGAUGCUGGAGAAGUCUCUUGUUGGAAAGUAUUUUCGUAUCAAUGUGAUUGGCAACUGCUGCUGACAAUAGCAUCUGGAAAAUUGUUUUACAUAUCCCAGAAAAUAAAGAAGGCUAUGAUUGUUCCGGCCAUGACAAAUGACUAUGGCAUAAACACUACACCAACUCUGGUUAGAGCUGCAUACAAUUCCACAAAAAGUCAACCUCAGGUGAUCCAAACUGUACCAAUGGUUGUGCUAAGGUCAACCACCUAGAUGGAUGGUCAUGAUGGUGGACACUGCAGUUACAUGUCCUACUGAUGGAACAGCCUUCACAGAAGAGAUUACAUGGAAUGUUCCCCGUGUUCUACUUCCUUGUUUCUACACCACAAAUUACUACCCUUGAUGUUCAAAUGGGAGUUGGUGGUCGUAGAUAGAUAAAGUAGAUAGAUAUAUUGUCAAACAGAUGUAAAUAUUAGCAUUAAAACACUUUCAGAUAACUGUUUUGAAUUAGAGUUUACAAAGAGUAUUAACUUUGGUUUUGUUAAAUAAAAUUAUUGUAGACAUUGCAUAUAGAUAAAUAAAGCCUUGUAGCUUAUUUAAUAUUAGAGUUUGAAAGAAAAUAAUACUUAGUACAGAUGAACUCUUUAUCUUAGCUUUAUGAUUCAAGUCUUUCCAGUAACAAAUGCACACCCACACACAUGUGUUUUAAGCAAAAGAAUCAAAAAUAAUUACUUUGAAAUACCUCUUAAAACUGUAGUACUGUAUCACUACUGAAAAUGUAAUUUUAUACAGCAAUACAAAUUUGAAAUAAAAUAUAUGUGAAUAAUGUAGAAUUAUAAUACUCACCAUCAGUGGGAAAAAUGACAGGUCCUCUAGUGGACAGGGCCUUGCAGUUUGGAGUGAGUUCAGUCAAGGCAAGACGGAGGCAGCUGCACAGAUGAUGUCAAAACGGAGCAAUUACGAUAUUUAAUGUUGUUCAAUGUUGAGAACGCAGACUCACACACGUAUGUCGAGCCAAACAUAGUCAAGAUGUUAAAUGCCACCUUCCUCAAGUGUGGAUACUUGGAGUCCAGCACAAGGGUUGUCCAGAAAGUUUCACAUGUAGUUUCAGUGUGCCGCAUCUUAAGCACUUCACCAGAUUGUAAAUCAAUAAGC